rnacentral:misc_RNA from 1 species
UCGCCUGUGGAAUUCCCUAACCUGCUCUUGUUCUGGUAGAUUUUUAUACUGUGGCAGCACAAGGCGUUCAGCAAACUCGAUAUAUGAACAAGGAACUGAUUCAGUGACACCAUCAGAAAAUUUGAAAGUGAUUGAAUCAGCCACAGUUGAACUUUGCAGCAAAAGGCCAUCAGGACUCACUUUCAGAAUGCCCCCUUCAGAAUUUAAUUUGAACCCAUUAUCUUCAAUAAAUUGAUCAAGGCAAUUGAUACUUCUCAACUGAGAUUUCAGCCGAUGAGUGGAAAUGGUAACAUGGUUUAGUGCAUAACCAUUGACAAGUGUCCAGGCAGCGUAUUCACUCUCCCUUGCUAAUUGCUCAAAUUCAGAAUAUAAGGGCUUGUUCCAUGUCAGAAAGCCUAGAGUACUUGCAAGAGCUGCAUGUUUAUAUCCGCUCGCAGAUACUUCAACAUAUUUUUUAAUGAUUUCCUGGAAGAAGCAGUUUCAAGCGUGAUGUAAGUGAGAAAAAAAAUUGAUGACUGUGACGGAGAUCGAAUGAUUAAGUUACUAAAAAAAAAUUGCUUGCUUUUUUCGAUAAAUAUCAAACUAAAAGUGCUUGUUUAGACCAGUAGAAGGGUGAAUAUGAGGUGAAGGGUAGAUCAGGUGCUUUUUUUUCACAACAAUAUAUCUGUAUAUGUCAUUAGAUAUACCAUCACAAACAAGACAAUAGUUCACAAAACUAUCUAUUCUAAUUUCAGAUGAAAGAACCAAGAAGGAAGCAAGGAUGGAGGAAGGGAAAGAGAGAGAGAGAGAGAUGGAAAGGCCUUUUUCCUCUAAGGGAGUUCUCAGUAUCAUCAAGGAUAUUAGAAAAAGGUAAUAAGAAUUGAAUAUAAUGAUACCCCACAUUAUUCCAUAAGCUGGCGCAUCAAUGAAACAUGGAUCUUGGAAACCAAAUCAAACAGAGCACAUAUCUCCUAUUUUCAUAAUGUCUUGAACUACAGGCCUUGAGCCAUAUGGAAUUAGGUUUCAAUCUUGAAACUGAGAAAAAUUUCAGCAAAUUCAGACAUUCACUAUUUCAUAAGACAAAUUUCUUUAUAUUGUAGAGAGGAUUUGAUAGAUGGGUCUAUUAUUGACAAAUAUUUCUGGAGCCAUCAUAGAAUCAGCAGCAAUGCACUUAGUACCCAACACACCCCGACUAAGCCAUGCUGACUAUCAGAGAGCAAAACAACAGGAAUCAGAAACGAAUGGAAUUCAAAGAUUCUAAUUUCACAGCUCAAAGGCCAGUCAGCAUUACCCUCCAUCAAGAAGACUAAAAAAAAGUUCAGAGUUCCAUGAAAGCAUAAGAAUGGCAAAUGAAAUAACAAGGAAAUUAUUAACAAAAUUCAUUGUUUUCAAAGAUAGUAAGCUUUGAGAAAAGAAGACAAACACAAAGAAACCGAAACUGACUUGAGCUUGUGGGCUUAUCUGAUCAACAAGAAGCUCCGAAAUGAAAAUUCUGGGCAAAGGCCCAUUAACACCACUGCCAGUAUUAGAAUGUGGAAUACUGGGAGGCGAAAACCACAGAGCUCUCAAUUUUUUGGCAGGAAAUCUCAGUUCCCCCUUCUGUGUAUAACCAUAAUCCAGGAAAAGGCUUGCCAUGGAAUCAAUCCCAUGACCAUUCACCCCAAAUGUCCUGAAAGCAAAAUGAUCAUAGCAGAUUGGUUCGCCGUCAGCUGACUGAACCAGCUCCAAAACAGCUUUCGCCGUGGGGUUCCUGUUCAAAUAAACCGUUUCCAUACCAGCCAAUACACUCCUGAAAAAUGAUUCAUCUCCCUGAAAAGAGGAUCCAGUGAAUCCAUUUUCCGAUUUAGAAGCAGAGACGGAGCAGAGGUAUCGUCGUUUUCCUGUGGAAAUUGAAUUCCAAGGAAGCGCAACGUUCUUCAAGGGAAUAAAAUUACGCGAUUUGGUUUGCAGUGAAGGAGAAGAAGAGCAGCAAAGGGAGCCAAAUGAAGCGGAAGUGAGAGACGGAGAUUUGGUUCUAAUCGAGGGUGCGCUGACGGAAAACAUGAUCGUAGAUAGUUUCAUCGUAGAUUAUUCUUCAAGUCUUCACCAGCGGUUCAUACCCUCAUAUUACUGCCACGUUCUUUGUCAGA